rnacentral:tRNA from 1 species
AGCCCUGUUCAACGAACUGCAAAUUCCAAAUAGCACCAUAAAGGUGCCGGGGCU